AGCGAACGCUGGCGGCAGGCUUAACACAUGCAAGUCGAGCGGGCACUUCGGUGUCAGCGGCAGACGGGUGAGUAACACGUGGGAACGUACCCUUCGGUUCGGAAUAACGCUGGGAAACUAGCGCUAAUACCGGAUACGCCCUUUUGGGGAAAGGUUUACUGCCGAAGGAUCGGCCCGCGUCUGAUUAGCUAGUUGGUGGGGUAAUGGCCUACCAAGGCGACGAUCCGUAGCUGGUCUGAGAGGAUGAUCAGCCACACUGGGACUGAGACACGGCCCAGACUCCUACGGGAGGCAGCAGUGGGGAAUAUUGGACAAUGGGCGAAAGCCUGAUCCAGCCAUGCCGCGUGAGUGAUGAAGGCCUUAGGGUUGUAAAGCUCUUUUGUCCGGGACGAUAAUGACGGUACCGGAAGAAUAAGCCCCGGCUAACUUCGUG
rnacentral:rRNA from 1 species